rnacentral:lncRNA from 10 species
GGGAGGAUUGCUUGAGUCCAGGAGUUUGAGCCUGCAGUGAGCCAUGAUUGUACCACUGCACUCCAGCCUGGGCAACAGAGUAAGACCCUGUCUCGAAACAAAACGAAAAAAAACCAACUAUGGGUUUGGGUUUCAGACCAGCCUGAAGCUAAGCCUGCUCACGGUGCUCUCGGGACAUUUGCCUUCAUCUCGCUGCAUCUAGAGCAAACAGGAAGGUGUUAGGAGAGGCAGGAAGGCGGGGUUUCCAUCAGCAUCAGGCAGGAGGGGACAAAGGAGUUUUUCAUGCCUGGCAGAAUCCUCACUCUAAGAUGGUAGGAAUGUACAGUUACAGCUAUAUAUCCCUUUGGGAAACUUUUUGGGAAGUAGGAAGAUCUACCUCCAUCUGACUGUGGUAUUUUCUGCUUUAUGAAAAGCAGAGAUAUGUGCUUUUCAUGUAGCUUUAUGAAUGUAAUCUUCUAUCCUGUGACAGAAAAAGAAAGAGAAAGGAAGAAAGAGGGAGAAAGAAGGAAGGAAAGAAAGAAGAAAAUGAAGGAAAGAAAGAAGAAAAGGAAGGAAUGAAGAAAGGAAGGAAGAAGGAAGAAGGGAGGGAAGGAGGGAGGAAGGAAUGUAGGAAGGAAGGAAGGGAGGAGAACUUGAUAUUUGAUAACUGUGUUUGUGAGCAUCUUUCUGGUCAUCCUAUCAUCUUCUCAUUUUGACAGGCACAUGUCAAACUUCAGUGCUGCCUGAUCUCUUUCCCUUCACUGAGACUUGAUUUUAUCUGGUGACAGUUUUCCUUUUAACCAGUUAUCAGGAGUAGGCGGCUUGUAUUCCCUUUCCCCUUUAAAAUUCAUACCUUUAAACUUCAUAGUCACACAUGUUGCUACAUAACAUAUUACCACAGACUUAGCCACUUAAAACAACCCUCCUUUAUGAGCUCACAGGGAUGUGGUCCACAGGCUAGGAGAGGGCUGGGUCCUUAGGGUCUCACAGGGUCAAAAUGGAGGCAGAUGCUGGAUGGCGCGCUUAUCUGGACGUCCUUGAGAAGAAGAAUCAGCUUUCGACCUCCUUCAGGCUGUUGACAGAAUUCAGAUCCUGUGGCUGGUUUCUCAUCUUUUGAUGAGCAAUCUUGAAACUGGAUUCUGUUUCAACAACUGUGCUUAUGCUUUAAAGGGGAAGACAUGCUGACCCUUCUGGUGGCACCUUUCAGGGUGCAGAGGAUUGCUGUGGUGCUAGCUUUGAUGGAUUGUUUGCAAAAGUGGCUGCAAUUAUUCAGCUCCCUCUGCAGUGGUGGAGUCUGUGUCCACUCCGCUUGACUCUCAGCUGAUCCUGUGGCCUGCUUAGACCAAGAGACUGCAAAAGAAGUGACUGUCUGUGCUGAGCCCUCAUCUCUAGAGACAAUGCACGCUUCCACCUGCCCCUUUCAAACUCUGCUGAGCUGCCUUGUGAACAAACAGCCCAGGCUCCUCAUCCAGCCCAAUCCAGAGGCAGAGCAGAUGGCAGUUGCUUGAGGGAAGGCAUCUGAGAGACGGAAUUUCGUUCUUGUUGCCCAGGCUGGAGUGCAAUGGUGCGAUCUCAGCUCACUGCAACCUCUGCCUCCCUGGUUCAAGUGAUUCUCCUGCUUCAGCCUCCUGAGUAGCUGGGAUUACAGGCACGCGCCACCACACCUGGCUAAUUUUGUGUUUUUAGUAGAGAUGGGGUUUUACCAUGCUGUCCAGGCUAGUCUCGAACUCCUGACCUCAGGUGAUCCACCCGCCUUGGCCUCCCAAAGUGCUGGGAUUACAGGCAUGAGCCUUCAUACCCGGUCAAACAUCUGUCUUUAAUUUAGAAAAUACGGAGUAAAGAAAUCAUUAACUUAUAAGUAUAAGCCAUUUAAUUUUUUAAAAAGGUCAAGUCCAGUUGAUCACACCUGUAAUCCCAGCACUUUGGGAGGUGGAGGCAGGUGGAUCACUUGAGACCAGGAGUUCGAGAGCAGCUUGGGCAACAUGGCGAAACCCUGUCUCUACAAAAAAUACAAAAAUUAGCCCCAUGUGGUGACGCAUGCCUGCAGUCCCAGCUAUUCAGGAGGCUGAGGUAGGAGGACAGCUUGAGCCUGGGAGGCAGAGGUUGCAGUGAGCCAUGAUAGUGCCACUAUGCUCCAGCCUGGGCAACAGAGCCAGACCAUGCCUCCAAAAAACACAAACACAUACACACACACACACACACACACACACACACACACACAACCCCACAAAAAAUCCCAUAAGUUCUCUCCAGUCUUACUUGUAUGCUCAGCUUUCAAAUGUUUAUAAUGUACCACUAACGUUACUAGUGCAUGGCGUUCACCCUUCCUGUCAACAUUUUAUUAUGAAUAUUUUAAAAGUCCAGAAAAAUCAAAAGUUUUUUCUUUUCUUUGACAGAGUCUUGCUCUGUCACCCAGUCUGGAG